GGAGAGACCUAGGCAUGAUUAGAGAGUUGGGACUUUCAGCCCCAUCCUGUAGUCUCCUGGGAGGGGAGAAAGGCUGAAGGUAGAGUUGACACCUAUGGGCAUUAAUGUAAUCAAUCAUGCCUAUGUAAUGAAGCCUCCAUAAAAACCCAAAACGACUGGGUUUGGGGAGCUUCCACAUAGGUGAACACAUGGAGGUGCCUGGAGGAGACAGAGAGGACAUGAAAUUGCUUCAUGUGGGACGGGGUUUCACUCUUGUUGCACAGGCUGGAGUGCAAUGGUGUGAUCUCAGGCUACCGCAACCUCCGCCUCCCUGGUUCAAGCGAUUCUCCUGCGUCAGCCUCCGGAGUAGCUGGGAUUACAAGCAUGUGCCACCACGCCCAGCUAAUUUUGUAGUUUUGGUAGAGACAGGGUUUCCCCAUGUUGGUCAGGCUGGUCUCGAACUCCUGACCUCAGGUGAUCCUCCCACCUUGGCCUCCCAAAGUGCUGGGAUUACAGGUGUGAGCCACCACACCUGGCCUUCAUUUUUCAUUUUCCUGAGUGUAUCUUUGUCUAUUUUUAAAUUUUUCUGGUAUUUUUAGUCUAAUCUAAUAUUUUCACAUUUUAAUAGUUUUGAUUAAAUGGCUUACACUCAUAGUGAAAUUGGUGUAUUUUUCUAUAUUUCUGAUGCCUUUAAGGUGUCCUGCUUUUUAUUCUUCUUUGUUGUUUACUUUUUUGUUGUUGUAAACUAUGUUUUCAUCUUACAUAGGCUAUAUUUCAUUUAUUUUCUUCUUUUGAAGUAACAUAGAUGUUAGAAAUCAUGCUUAAAUCAUUAGUUUGAAACCAUUUGCUUUCAAAUGUAUCAAGUAAAUAAUAAAUGUAUAUCAGGAUAAAACAGUAUUGUGAUACCUUUGAAACAAUAACUUUUAUUGUUUUGUCACAAAAUAUUCUUUAAAUAUAAAUAUAUGUCUUUAAUUCUAUGAUUCAACCUUUGCUCUUUUAUUUGGAAUUUAUAGUUCUAGGUUAUUAUUGUAAUAUUCCCUUCAUUAUAUCAACAACCACCCCCCAGCAGACACCCCCUAAAUCAUUUUUGUCUUUGUCUUCAAUUUGUUAACCAUACCUACAAUGGUCUUUUU
rnacentral:lncRNA from 1 species